AUGCAUAGACAUAGAUGUCAUUGUUAUAAGACAAAGCAUUUUAGCUUCUGAUUUGUUAGCAUUUGCCCAAUAAUUAUGUCAACUUUGUGACACAUUUUGCAAUCUAAGAAAAAUUUGAGAAAACUUAAAUUUUGAUUUUUAACCUUGUUCGGCUCUACUCAAUAAUAGGCAAUAAAACAAAAUUAGGCAAAUAAACAAUAAUAAAACAGGUUUAUGAAUUUAAAGGAAUAGACGAGAAUAAAACAUUUAUGAAUUUAAGAAAUAAGCAAUAAUAAAACAUUUAUGAAUUUAAAAAAAUAAGCAAUAAUAAAACAUUUAUGUUUUGUUCUCCGAAUCUGUUCAAUAACACUAAUAAGUGCAUGAUGAUAUGAUUAUUACGUAAUGGGUCAUGAAUAAAUAUGUAUAUGUAGGUAUGUCUAUCCGCUGCGCCGUAUAGAGGAGCUAAAUUAGUCAUACUCUGGGAAUAUAUUCACUUGUAGGCAAGUACUAUUCUCACUCAAAGCAUUCAAAAGGUUAAAUAUCAAUCCAUUUCAGGACAUAAUACAUAGGACAUAAUAUAAUACGAACACUGAUAUAUGUAGAAAACAUUAAAGUGACAUUAAACGAUAGGUUAUUUUUUAAGUAGCAAAGGAAAUGGAAAUGAAGAGUAAAUAAAAAUGAUAGCACAAAAAUUUUACGAUUUUUAUAGUAGUAUAGUUUAUUUUUAGCCUUCCGGCCGAGAAAGGAACUCGGUACACAAUUAUUUUCCCUAUUUCCUUGCAUUUUCAUUGAUUCAGCUACAAUUUACACACACAUCCAUUCAUUCAUUCAAUCCUUAAUUUUCUAUUACAAUUUAUAUAUCAUAUAUCUACCGUCUAUCAUCUAUCUAUCUCUAACUAUUAACUAUUCUAUAUGUCUAUUAUCUUUUAUAUAUUGCAUAAAUCUUUAUCUAAUUGCCUAAUAUACCUACUUAACUAAAUACCCUUUUUCGCUUCGCACUCCCCUUUUUCUUCUUUUCCGAUUUCGUCGCCCAGUCUACAACCCUAUCUUUUCCUUCUUCGUUGACUAUGUCUCCUAUACUAAUUCCUAAUUCCUUACACUAUCUUGUAAAAGAGUAAUUUUGACGUAUAUAACAAUUGAAAAGAUAUUCGAAAUGAAAAGAUGAAGCAAAUAUUCAUUGUGUCGUUUCACAUUUAUACGUAUAUAAGGUAUUCGUUUAAUAUCACUUAUUCGCGCAAUUCAUGGUAUAACAUAGAAACGUAUUCAGGAAAUUAUAGACUACACAUCUACAUAUAACUAAGUCAAGGUUGAGAAGUUUGUAGUCUAUCUACUCGAUAUUCAACUCACUUCAUACACUAUACAUAGGUAAUUACGUUUAGUUGAAGCUAACUUUUAGUUUAUUAAAUAAAUGAAAGAAACUUUAAACAAUAAAUCUCACCUCAAAUAGCAAACGAAUGUAAAUAUGUAUUAAAUUUCCAUUUAAAUAAACUACUUAGUGAAACAUUUGAAUUUAAAAAGAAUAUGAACUAAGAUAAAUGUGCACGUAUGUAUAUCUAUAUUUACUUCUAACAAGCAGUUGAUAAUUAUUUUUCAUUGUAUUGACAUGCUGUGCAAAUUAUGAAAUUUAUUUUGUUUACAAGUGUUUUGAUCUUACUGCUCAUUGAUUUUGAAAGUAACUACAUUAAUUUAUUGAAUUACCGUAGUAGUAGUGGUUUUACAUUUCGUAAUAAUAGCUAAAAGAAAUUGACAAAUAAAAAAAGAAAAACAAAUGAACCUGAAAAGAUAAAAAUGAGUUGAUGUUUGUAUAUAUUGCCACAAGGAAUAUGAUAUGAACUGCAAUGUAAUACACAAAAUGUACAUGUAUCGUGGACAAGAAGGCAAAUACCACCACUCGUGUCGGACGACGGCGUGUUAGCGCCUUAGGUUUCGAACGUUCGGGACCUGGGUUUGAAUUCGGAUUUUUUUUCUACGCAUCAAACGUGGAAGAAAAACAGCAGAAAAACGUUACAACUAUCACGGGCAAUAUUUACACAUCAAGCACAUAAGACGUUGUGAGCUGAGUGUGAGGAUAAGACGUACGACGAUACUACAUAUAUUUCCCAGAAGUUAAACGUCGUUACUGAUGGUCAUAACCAAUUUAAACAAUGUUUCCUUUUUUCUUUUAAUGAAAUAUCACAAAGAAUAGGGUUUCAGUUAUAUUUUAUAAUAUUUCAUUAUGAAAUGUUUAUAUAUAUGUUGUUCAAUGAUAAUCAAUUUCUACUAAAAUUCACUUAACUUUCAAUAAUAAAUGAAAAUUAGUGAAACAUUUUAAACAAAAAUCAGUAAACACACAAAGAGAAUAUGUAUUUUUAUAUUUAUAUUUUUGCUCGCUUGUACCACAUACGUUUGUUUACGCUUAUUAGAAGCAAUUUGCUGGGUAGGAAACGGUAAGUAUAACUGCGUUCUUCAAGACCAACAAAGUAAAUAAGACCAACUAAGAAACAGUUUCUUAGUUGCGCGAACUUGCGACGAUUACAUGGAAUAUACAAGUUUCGAAAAUAACAUUUAUUGUCCAAUAAUACAUAUAUUUACAAUGCGAUAUAUUUAAAUUGUUAACCGCAUCAUUCUUUAUUCAGAAAUUUUAUGACCACGAAAUUGUCCUCAUUAAUAAGGAUAAAUCAAUUUCAGAUGGAUCGGCUUUAAUUCGUGCAAAUAUAAAUAUUACAUAAUAUAUUUACGACACGAAUGAAACAAGUGAUUAAAAAAUAGAAUAUUAGUGCCUAUAAAUAAAAAAAUUAUUAUAUUAAAAAGAUUAAGACUCUGGGUGAUGAACUAAUUCGUCUUCUUCAGUUUACAAUUUAACACCAAAUAAUAUAUACAGUGAUAAAUCAAAGAAUUGACACAAACCACAUUUUCUCUUAAAAUAUUGCAAAAAACUUGUAAAACACGAUUUUUUGUAAACUGUAAUUUUCAAGUGUAAAAUUUAGGUAUAUCAUAAUUUGUUAUUAGUAAGCAGCUAUAGAAUAAAAGUGAAUAAUUAAAGGACUGAAAAGCGUAACUGAAUGUUUUUAAUAUUUUAAUGUGAUAUUAGAUUUAAAUUAUUAUAAAAGUGGUACGAGACAAUCAGUUCUAGAAUUAUUUCGAAACCGAUAUAAAGUCAAAAAAUAAUUUAAAAGCGAUAUAAGAAUCGAUAUACAACAGAAUAUAUCGUAAUUCGUAUUAGUAAACAGUAAGCAGCUGUUAAAAAUAAAUAAUAAAAAGCGCAUAAUAUAGCACCUUCGUUAUAAGAACUCUUCAUGGAAUUGUAUCAAAUAAUUUUUCAAUAAACUUAUUUUGUACUAUUUACCAUCCUGCUUUUACGAUUUUAAACAAGCUUGUUGCAUUUUUUAAGUUCAGAAGCUUAUUGUAUCGUUCAUCGUUGAUUAUUAGUAAUUAGACAAUAUAGCAUAUAGUAAUAGCAGUAGUUAAUAGUAGUAGUUUAGCAAUUAACUACGAUUAACAAGGGAACAUUUCUAACCCAGAAAUUCGAAAAAUUAUGAAAAUUCGGAGAUAUGUAGAGCAUAUGUAGCCAUGUAUCGAGCAAUUUUCUUCUCUUGCCCAAAUUCGCUCUAAGGAGGUAAAAUCGACUCCUGAAAAUUCAACUAUUUUCCGAUUUUAUGUUAUAAUUCGCAAACUAUACGAGUUAAACUAUAACAGCUUUUAGAUAAAAAUUGUUUAUUUUUUCCAACGAAGGCUAUCGUUUGGUAAAAGAUUUGGUAAUUAUUUAGAAAGCUGCAAUUAUCUUGGAUUUCGGUGAUUUUUUAAUAUAUUAUAAAAAUCAAAGUUUUGAAUCAUUUUUUUUUUGCAUGUACCACUGCUGCUCAGGCUAUUUUCGAAAUAUCUGCAGAAAACUUGUCGGAUAUAAUUGUAUACCCGUGGCAACGUAUUCGCCAAUGUUUACAGUUUAUAUAAGUGAGUUAGGUGUUAUUUAAUACCGUAGUCACAGUGAGACGACCGACAACCAAUGCUAAUGCAUACGCUAUCAUGGCCGCACAAUUAUAAGCAGAAUUCAUUAUGAGCUACCGACAACUUUUUUGAAAUUAUCUCGGAAACUAUGGUCGAAAGGCGAUUAAGUGUGUAGAAAAAGUUGUUUAGAAUCAUGCCUCGACAAUAUAUAAAAAAUAUGUCGAAAUGCAAAAUGCCGGUAGCUUCCUAAACACAUAAUUACCAAAGAUUUAUCAUUUGUUUAUAUAAUUAUAAAAAAGUUAUAAAGAAAGUAAUUGAUAAUUUUUCAAAAAACUCAUUCUUUGGCGUAAAAUCUUAAUCAAUGAUUUAAAUAAUUAUGAAAAAACAUAAAAAACAUUUAGUUACUUUUUUUAGUAUAAAUACAAUCUUUGUUGCAUUGUUGAAUUGUGUUCUUCGAUAAUCGAAGAACUUCUCAAUUUCAUUGUACACAUACUAUGAUGUGCUGACGUGCAAUAAAAAAUUUUCGGUGCACAUUUAUGCACCUGAUGCAUCAUGAAUUCAGUUAUGCGAAACAAAGAAAAAUAUACGGACUAACGUAUCUAAUGACAAAGUAAUAAAUAAUAAGUUAACGUGCAAUGUCCAUUUUAGUGUUCGCAGUCAAGACUAGAUAUGGACGCUUAUCUGAGAAACUGACAUUUGCAAAUUCAACUAAAGGAAGGAGAAGGGAUGGAUAUGAGAGAGAUGCUGAUAUUGGGCACGUGCAAACGAGAACUCGAGCGUCAAUCGAUAUUUGCUCGAAAUAAUCGAUAAGGAUCGGUGUCAAGUUUCGUUUAACACUUUAUCUCAUUCGGCAUGCUCAAACCUCAUGUCAAAGUCCCAUUUCCAAGAAUUACUGGCGUUAGCAACGUAUGCUUAAAUGAGCACUACAAGUAAAAUAGUAAUAAACAGUAAGUAAAGUAAUAAGUAAUAAAUGAUUCCACUCUUUGUUACUUUCAUUUCAGUACAGCGUUCAAGGUUAGCAUUUGUCUAGUGAAGACAGAUUAGCAAUAAAAAAAAUGCUGCUUUCUUUGUAGUGUGCCAUAUUACAGUACUAUAGAUGUCAACAAUAAGUAAGUAUAUCUAAACUAUAUCUCUGUAACGAUCGUAUGAAAAUGGUUCACAUAAAUCCUGCAAAUAUAAUUCGUUUACUUAUGAUUACGUUCAAAAUUGUGAAUAAUAACAAUAUAAUGAGAUAUUAUAAUGAGAAGAGAAAUCGACUUACAAGAUAUAAUAAAAGAUACGCUUAUUGUAUUAAUUUGUGGAACCGCUUAAACCACAUUCUGUAGAAUUUCUGGAUAAUAUAUAACGAGGUGCACGCAAAGAACUUUCAGAAGCGAUAGAGGUCUAAGAUGAGUGUAUACCAGAACAAGAAGAUAUUGUGACUUUAGAAUACAAAAUUAUUGUUGUUGCAUUUUGGAAAAGUGGAAAGAGGACGCGACUUUCCCUAGACACUCCCAGGCAUAAAUUUUGAAAAGUUUCAUCUCUUUAACAAUUGUAUAAGUAUAUAAUUGUAUAGUAUUUGUAAGUAUAUAAUUGUAUAAUUGUAUCUAUCCGUUUUGUAUCUGUGCAUAAUUACCUUGUUUAGAUUAUUAGAUGGAAAGAGACGGUAAACAGACGGAGAACACGGCGGGAAAAAUUGUUACAAAUUUCCGAAUAUGUUUAUAACAAGUUAUUCGUGAUUUGAGCUUUUGAAGAUGGGCACUAGAAGCUAUUGAAGAAAUAGGUUCGAGAAAUUUAAAAACUAAAAUUUUUCAAACUGGAUUUUCAAUUUUAAGAAAACUUAAAAUUAAUAAUAUAAAAUAGUGUCAAAAAAAGUAAACAAAUUUAUUACCCGAUUAUAUGGCACUGAUACCACGCAGUUAAAUGAAAUUGCUUCGUCUUUUAUUAAUAAUAUAAAAUCUCAUACUAGAAAUAUCGGAAAAUACGUGCUGUACAGUAAUCAAUGCUGAUGAAAGCGGAUUAGAUAAAAUUACAUUAUGGCUGUACUCUAUCUAGGCAAGGAUCAAAAACGGUUAUAAAGUCUAUAUCAGCUACAACACACAGUUAUACUAUACUCCCCAUAAUAUCAACUUCUGGGAAAUUUAUUUAACCGCUUUAUAUUGUCCUAAAAGAACAGAAUGGUAAGUUUGUUUCACGUGUACAACAGUCUUGAAAAAAAACUGUUCAAUGAACAGUUAACGGACGUAUAUCUACCAAAUGCAGAAUCUCGGAAGUUGACAUCGUGAUCUGGACAAUGUUAAUCUACAUUACAAAAUAGUAUCAUGUUGUAAUCAGCAUACUGAAAUAUUCACAAUAUCGAAUACAGCAAUAAUGUAACUGAUAUAUAUAGUUCCGCAUAAUGAAGAACUUUAUAUGAAUAUUUUCCGAUCUUGUAGUAUUAUUUAAUUGUGAUGAUUGAUAUUAAAUUACAGUUUCUUAUUUUAUCUCUAUUUUCAUCAUCAAAGUAUUACGAUGUAUGUACAUACUUGCUUACUCGUGGUAUAAAAGUGAAUAUAUUAUAUUGAUAGAAAGGAAAUCAAAUAAUGCUGAAAAUCCAGUAGAUUUCGCUUUCCCACAACAAGAUUGUCUUAAACAUUCUUUUGCAGAAUUUCAUUAUCAUGAAGAAUAAUUCAUAAUACAAUUCACAUGACAUUUACAUUUUCGAAAUUAUUUAUUUAUUCUUUAAGUGUCUAUUUACACACGUAAAAGUGGAUGAGGAAUUGUUAGAAUAACUGGACAGGCAAGUGGAGAGGAAACCAGAGGAGGUAGAGAAGAAGCUGAAGGGAAAACUAAAUGUCAAAGCAUGAGCAUACAGCAGAAUAUACGAAAGGAAAAUGUAUAAGAAGAGGGAGUAAGGAGACAGGAAAGGAGGAGGGAAGAGAAACUAAACAACGAGGACAGCUUGAUUAUGUGAAUAAUAUCAUGGUUUUCUUCCUACAUAUUUUGCAGGCUCUUGGAGUAUUAUUAGUCACUAUAUAUUACAUCCGAAAAUAUGAAAAUGUACAAAUAGUACAAUAAAUAACUUACUUACUUAUA